rnacentral:misc_RNA from 1 species
GCCGAAUCAAAAAAAGGAAAUAGAACCUAGCCUUGAGGAAAGGUUUCUAAAUUCCAAGACAUUUCUACACCUCAGUAAAUACUUAUUAAACUCUUCAAACAAGAGGAUGCUGAGAACUACACAAGAAAACCCUAGUUGUAAGAGAAAGAGAGGAAAGUGAGUUUUAUUUUUAGUGAUCAAUCUUAAGAUAAUAUCUCUUGAACCCUCACGAACCUAAACUUAGACUUUUGGACCUCUUAGCGCACCACUGUAUUACAACUCCUCCAACAUCUCUACUGAUCAAA